UGGGGGAUAUUGCACAAUGGGCGAAAGCCUGAUGCAGCGACGCCGCGUGGGGGAUGAAGGCCUUCGGGUUGUAAACUUCUUUUGCUCUGAACAAGGCAUGCCUUUGGGGUGUGUUGAGUGUAGGGGUUGAUUAGCGCCGGCUAACUACGUGCCAGCAGCCGCGGUAAUACGUAGGGCGCGAGCGUUGUCCGGAAUUAUUGGGCGUAAAGGGCUUGUAGGUGGCUGGUUGCGUCUGUCGUGAAAGCUCAUGGCUUAACUGUGGGUUUGCGGUGGGUACGGGCUGGCUUGAGUGCAGUAGGGGAGGCUUGAAUUCCUGGUGUAGCGGUGGAAUGCGCAGAUAUCAGGAGGAAUACCGGUGGCGAAGGCGGGUCUCUGGGCUGUUACUGACGCUGAGGAGCGAAAGCGUGGGGAGCGAACAGG
rnacentral:rRNA from 1 species